rnacentral:rRNA from 1 species
AGAGUUUGAUCAUGGCUCAGGACGAACGCUGGCGGCGUGCCUAAUACAUGCAAGUAGAACGCUGAAGAGAGGAGCUUGCUCUUCUUGGAUGAGUUGCGAACGGGUGAGUAACGCGUAGGUAACCUGCCUUGUAGCGGGGGAUAACUAUUGGAAACGAUAGCUAAUACCGCAUAACAAUGGAUGACCCAUGUCAUUUAUUUGAAAGGGGCAAAUGCUCCACUACAAGAUGGACCUGCGUUGUAUUAGCUAGUAGGUGAGGUAACGGCUCACCUAGGCGACGAUACAUAGCCGACCUGAGAGGGUGAUCGGCCACACUGGGACUGAGACACGGCCCAGACUCCUACGGGAGGCAGCAGUAGGGAAUCUUCGGCAAUGGGGGCAACCCUGACCGAGCAACGCCGCGUGAGUGAAGAAGGUUUUCGGAUCGUAAAGCUCUGUUGUAAGUCAAGAACAAGUGUGAGAGUGGAAAGUUCACACUGUGACGGUAGCUUACCAGAAAGGGACGGCUAACUACGUGCCAGCAGCCGCGGUAAUACGUAGGUCCCGAGCGUUGUCCGGAUUUAUUGGGCGUAAAGCGAGCGCAGGCGGUUUGAUAAGUCUGAAGUUAAAGGCUGUGGCUCAACCAUAGUUCGCUUUGGAAACUGUCAAACUUGAGUGCAGAAGGGGAGAGUGGAAUUCCAUGUGUAGCGGUGAAAUGCGUAGAUAUAUGGAGGAACACCGGUGGCGAAAGCGGCUCUCUGGUCUGUAACUGACGCUGAGGCUCGAAAGCGUGGGGAGCGAACAGGAUUAGAUACCCUGGUAGUCCACGCCGUAAACGAUGAGUGCUAGGUGUUGGAUCCUUUCCGGGAUUCAGUGCCGCAGCUAACGCAUUAAGCACUCCGCCUGGGGAGUACGACCGCAAGGUUGAAACUCAAAGGAAUUGACGGGGGCCCGCACAAGCGGUGGAGCAUGUGGUUUAAUUCGAAGCAACGCGAAGAACCUUACCAGGUCUUGACAUCCCGAUGCUAUUUCUAGAGGUAGAAAGUUACUUCGGUACAUCGGUGACAGGUGGUGCAUGGUUGUCGUCAGCUCGUGUCGUGAGAUGUUGGGUUAAGUCCCGCAACGAGCGCAACCCCUAUUGUUAGUUGCCAUCAUUCAGUUGGGCACUCUAGCGAGACUGCCGGUAAUAAACCGGAGGAAGGUGGGGAUGACGUCAAAUCAUCAUGCCCCUUAUGACCUGGGCUACACACGUGCUACAAUGGUUGGUACAACGAGUUGCGAGUCGGUGACGGCAAGCUAAUCUCUUAAAGCCAAUCUCAGUUCGGAUUGUAGGCUGCAACUCGCCUACAUGAAGUCGGAAUCGCUAGUAAUCGCGGAUCAGCACGCCGCGGUGAAUACGUUCCCGGGCCUUGUACACACCGCCCGUCACACCACGAGAGUUUGUAACACCCGAAGUCGGUGAGGUAACCUUUUGGAGCCAGCCGCCUAAGGUGGGAUAGAUGAUUGGGGUGAAGUCGUAACAAGGUA